rnacentral:rRNA from 1 species
UUAAGCUACUAAGGGCACAUGAAGGAUGCCUUGGUAUCGGCAGGCGAAGAAGGACGUGGUAAGCUGCGAAAAGCUUCGGGGAGCUGCACACGAGCAUUGAUCCGGAGAUAUCCGAAUGGGGCAACCCGGCUGGAGUAAUGUCCAGUCAUCCGUAACUGAAUCCAUAGGUUACGGAAGCGAGACGCAGGGAAGUGAAACAUCUCAGUACCUGCAGGAAAAGAAAUCAACAGAGAUUCCGCAAGUAGUGGCGAGCGAACGCGGAAGAGGCUAAACCGGUCGGUUUACUGACCGGGGUUGCGGGACUUCGACGACGGCAAGACCAAUCGAUAGCAGAAGGAUCUGGAAAGGUCCGGCAUAGAGGGUGAAACCCCCGUAAGCGAAAUUGAUUGUAAGCCGUGAAGUAUCCCAAGUAGGUCGGAACACGUGAAACUCUGACUGAAUCCGGGGAGACCACUCUCCAAGCCUAAAUACUAGCCGGUAACCGAUAGCGUAUAGUACCGCGAGGGAAAGGUGAAAAAGCACCCCGGGAGGGGAGUGAAAAGUAUCUGAAAUCAUGUGUCUACAAAGUGUGGGAGCGCAAGCGACCGCAUGCCUUUUGCAUAAUGAGCCUGCGACUUACUCUAACGAGCGAGGUUAAGCCUAGUGCGGAGCCGAAGCGAAAGCGAGUGUGAAAAGCGCGUCUAGUUCGUUGGAGUAGACCCGAAGCUGAGUGAUCUAUCCAUGGCCAGGUUGAAUCUGCGGUAACACGCAGUGGAGGACCGAACCAGUUCAUGUUGAAAAAUGUUUGGAUGAGCUGUGGAUAGGGGUGAAAGGCCAAUCAAACUCAGUGAUAGCUGGUUCUCUUCGAAAUAGCUUUAGGGCUAGCCUUGCGUAAAUAGUUUGCGGGGGUAGAGCUACUGAUUGUUCACGGGCCCUUACCGGGGUACCAAGAACUAUUAAACUCCGAAUACCGUAAACCGUACCGCAGGAGUCAGACUAUGGGGGAUAAGCUUCAUGGUCGAGAGGGAGACAGCCCAGACCGCCGGCUAAGGUCCCAAAUCUGGACUUAGUGGUUUGAAGGAUGUGAUGUUGCAUAAACAGCCAGGAUGUUGGCUUAGAGGCAGCCAUCAUUUAAAGAGUGCGUAAUAGCUCACUGGUCGAGUGAUAUCGCGCCGAAGAUGAUCGGGACUGAAGUCCAGAACCGAAGCCGCGGACCGUGGAUUUAUUCACGGUGGUAGAAGAGCGUUGUAUGCGGGUUGAAGCCGAAGAGUGAUCUGAGGUGGACUGCAUACAAGUGACCAUGCAGGCAUGAGUAGCGAAAAACCGGAUGAGAAUUCCGGUCACCGAAAACCUAAGGUUUCCCGGGGAAGGUUCGUCCGCCCGGGGUUAGUCGGAACCUAAGGCGAGGCCGAAAGGCGUAGUCGAUGGAGGACAGGUUAAUAUUCCUGUACCACCUUGCUUGAGUGAUGGAGGGACGCAGUAAGUCAGGCGAGCCAACUGCUGAAUAUGUUGGUCGAAUCCCGUAGGGCGUGUCAUAGGCAAAUCCGUGACACAUCAGCCUGAGAGGCGUAAGGUAUCCGGGCGCAAGUCUGGAGAAUUCGCUGUGACUACACUGACGAGAAAAGCUUCUAAACGUUGACGGCAGGGUGUCCGUACCGUAAACCGACACAGGUAGGUGAGGCGAGUAGCCUAAGGUGCGCGAGAGAAACCAACGUUAAGGAACUCGGCAAAUCAGCCCCGUAACUUCGGAAUAAGGGGUGCCGUUUCAGGUGGAGGGAUUUACUCCCCGAGCCCGGGACGGUUGCAAUAAAGAGGCCGGUGCGACUGUUUAACAAAAACAUAGCUCUAUGCUAACUCGUAAGAGGAUGUAUAUGGAGUGACACGUGACCAAUGCCAAAAGGUCAAUGGGAGAGGUUAGCGCAAGCGAAGCUUCGAUCUGAAGCCCUGGUGAAUGUCGGCCGUAACUAUAACGGUCCUAAGGUAGCGAAAUUCCUUGUCGGGUAAGUUCCG